GACGAACGCUGGCGGCGUGCUUAACACAUGCAAGUCGAACGAUGAAGCCUAGCUUGCUAGGUGGAUUAGUGGCGAACGGGUGAGUAAUACGUGAGUAACCUACCUUUAACUCUGGGAUAAGCCUGGGAAACUGGGUCUAAUACCGGAUACGACCAAUCUCCGCAUGGGGUGUUGGUGGAAAGCGUUAUGUAGUGGUUAUAGAUGGGCUCACGGCCUAUCAGCUUGUUGGUGAGGUAACGGCUCACCAAGGCGACGACGGGUAGCCGGCCUGAGAGGGUGACCGGCCACACUGGGACUGAGACACGGCCCAGACUCCUACGGGAGGCAGCAGUGGGGAAUAUUGCACAAUGGGCGCAAGCCUGAUGCAGCGACGCCGCGUGAGGGAUGACGGCCUUCGGGUUGUAAACCUCUGUUAGCAGGGAAGAAGAGAGAUUGACGGUACCUGCAGAGAAAGCGCCGGCUAACUACGUGCCAGCAGCCGCGGUAAUACGUAGGGCGCGAGCGUUGUCCGGAAUUAUUGGGCGUAAAGAGCUUGUAGGCGGUUUGUCGCGUCUGCUGUGAAAGGCCGGGGCUUAACUCCGUGUAUUGCAGUGGGUACGGGCAGACUAGAGUGCAGUAGGGGAGACUGGAAUUCCUGGUGUAGCGGUGGAAUGCGCAGAUAUCAAGAGGAACACCGAUGGCGAAGGCAGGUCUCUGGGCUGUAACUGACGCUGAGAAGCGAAAGCAUGGGGAGCGAACAGG
rnacentral:rRNA from 1 species